rnacentral:rRNA from 1 species
UACGUAGGGGGCGAGCGUUGUCCGGAAUUACUGGGCGUAAAGGGUGUGUAGGUGGUCGAUUAAGUUGGAUGUGAAAUCCCCGGGCUUAACCUGGGGCCUGCAUCUAAAACUGAUUGACUAGAGUGCAGGAGAGGAAAGUAGAAUUCCUAGUGUAGCGGUGAAAUGCGUAGAUAUUAGGAGGAAUACCGGUGGCGAAGGCGACUUUCUGGACUGUAACUGACACUGAGACACGAAAGCGUGGGGAGCAAAC